rnacentral:misc_RNA from 1 species
GAACUACGCAAGUGGGAUUUGGGUAUUCCAAGAUUUAACUUGCUCACCAACUGUUUGUGGGAAGGUCUGUAAGAAAAAGUGUUUUGUUUUGAUACAUUACAUCCGAACGAGGAUGGUAGCUUUGAAUAUACCAGAAUUGGCGAUGCUUCCAUUGGUAUUAGUUGCAGAGAUUUUCGGUUGAAGAACACUGGAUCAGCUCAUCAGACCGUUUAUUAAGCUUCUUCCACCUGAAAAUUUGGUCACUUUUAC